AUUGAACGCUGGCGGCAGGCCUAACACAUGCAAGUCGAGCGAGCGGCGGACGGGUGAGUAAUGUCUGGGAAACUGCCUGAUGGAGGGGGAUAACUACUUGAAACGGUAGCUAAUACCGCAUACCCUCAGAUGUGCCCAGAUGGGAUUAGCUAGUAGGUGGGGUAACGGCGCCCCUAGGCGACGAUCCCUAGCUGGUCUGAGAGGAUGACCAGCGAGACGGGAACGGAGACACGGGCCAGACGCCUACGGGAGGGAGCAGUGGGGAAUAGUGCACAAUGGGCGCAAGCCUGAUGCAGCCAUGCCGCGUGUGUGAAGAAGGCCUUCGGGUUGGAAAGCACUUUCAGCGGGGAGGCGUUACCCGCAGAAGAAGCACCGGCUAACUCCGGGCCAGCAGCCGCGGUAAUAC
rnacentral:rRNA from 1 species